rnacentral:rRNA from 1 species
UAUCCAGACUCCUACGGGAGGCAGCAGUGGGGAAUAUUGGGCAAUGGGCGCAAGCCUGACCCAGCAACGCCGCGUGAAGGAAGAAGGCUUUCGGAUUGUAAACUUCUUUUAAGAGGGAAGAGCAGAAGACGGUACCUCUUGAAUAAGCCACGGCUAACUACGUGCCAGCAGCCGCGGUAAUACGGAGGAUGCGAGCGUUAUCCGGAUUUAUUGGGUUUAAAGGGUGCGUAGGCGGCAUUAUAAGUUAGUGGUAAAAUAUUGGGGCUUCACCUCACUACGCCAUUAAUACUGUAGAGCUAGAGAACAGACGAGGUAGGCGGAAUAAGUUAAGUAGCGGUGAAAUGCAUAGAUAUAACUUAGAACACCGAUAGCGAAGGCAGCUUACCAGACUGAGUCUGACGCUGAUGCACGAGAGCAUGGGUAGCGAACAGGAUUAGAUACCCUAGUA